GGCCCAAUGGUCUAGUAGUAUGAUUCAUCGUUAGGGUCGAUGAGGUCCCGGGUUCAAUUCCCGGUUGGGCCC